UACGGAGGGUGCAAACGUUGCUCGGAAUCAUUGGGCGUAAAGCGCACGUAGGCGGCGCGUUAAGUCGGGUGUGAAAGCCCUGGGCUCAACCCAGGAAGUGCAUUCGAAACUGGCGCGCUUGAAUAUGGAAGAGGGUCGCGGAAUUCCCGGUGUAGCGGUGAAAUGCGCAGAUAUCGGGAGGAACACCAAUGGCGAAGGCAGCUCGCUGGGACGGUACUGACGCUGAGACGCGAAAGCGUGGGGAGCAAACAGG
rnacentral:rRNA from 1 species